CCCAGAGGAGGAACGCCAGGGUCAAUAGGGUCACGUUUAAUGAAGGAUUAAACAUUCUUGUUCUGGGUUCUUGACCUUUGCUGCAUAUAGCAGCUUAGCGCUUCUGUUCUUUAUUUGCCUGCUUGGAAAGCUUACUAUACCCAUAGAUAGUGUAGUAAGAGGGAUUGGAAACGGACCGCGAUUGUCGGCCAGUCCAGGCUGCGCAGGAAGUUAAUUCACUGCACCGGAAGCUAAUAAUAGUUUCUUCACAUCACCUUGGGAUGGCAGCACAGAUUACAGAGCAGACAGACAGCACAUGAGACCUUGAUAAGAGCUAGAGCUAAAGAGCAGUGAUGAGCAUCGAAGAGAAACACUCUACUGAGAUCGAGAGAAGCCACUAAGCCUCUGUUUGUGAAGACGAAGGAUUCAAGAUAUUUAGCAGUGCCAGCAUCAUGUAACUGCACUGACUUUGAGCAACAAAGUUGUAGCUAUGAAUGGAUGAUUUACAAGGGAAAUACAAUUUAAUAGCUAUCACUUUAGCGUAUUGUGUAUUCACACUCUUAUACUCUUAGUGUAUAUAGUUCAUUCGA